UGGGGAAUAUUGCACAAUGGGCGCAAGCCUGAUGCAGCCAUGCCGCGUGUAUGAAGAAGGCCUUCGGGUUGUAAAGUACUUUCAGCGGGGAGGAAGGUGUUGUGGUUAAUAACCGCAGCAAUUGACGUUACCCGCAGAAGAAGCACCGGCUAACUCCGU
rnacentral:rRNA from 1 species